CAUUCGUCGGCCCACGAAGCCUUCUUCUUCCUCCAGCCGCUAGACAGAGCCCGACUGGACCAGCCCUGCUGCAGCAGCCAGAAAUCCACCACCGGCCACCGGCGCUGAAGGGGGCAGUGGGCAAAAGGAGGAGGAGGCACCGGAGUAUGAACUGGAAUUGGUAGCUGGAUGAGGCGGAGGCGCCGGGGCCGGAACUGCCCCACCACCGGCCUCGGAGUGCGCGCCAGGCGCGCCCUUGAGGCGCCGCUGCGCGUGUCUCCCGGAGUCCGUCCACUCUCGGCUGCUCAGCCAUUCUCCGCCACCGCCGGCCGUCCUGUCGGCCAGACUCUAUUCCAAACACCGUUUUCCCCGGCGUCUAGAGCGGCAAGUCGCCGUUCUCGAGGAAGACGAAGCUCCAGUCCAGGGACCUCAACUGAGCUAAGGAUUUGGCUAGCGCGAACAAGGCAAUGGUUUUCUCAGGGGGAAAAAAGGCCAGGAAAUGGUCCUGGGCCGGGUGGCGCGGCGGGCAGCUGUGGAGCGCGUGGGGAAAUAGUGGACCUGGGCCGCGUAGUGCAACCAGACAAGAGUAUGGAAGAGGAGGAUGGCUGGGCCAACAGAGAAAGAAGGUUAAUUUCCCUAAAAAAAAGAAGAAGAAAGAAGGUUAAUUGUUUGAAAUCUGGACUCAGAUUUCAAAAAGAUUAGUCAUUAUUUACAAAUCCUACAGCUAAUAUUAACUACCAACUGAUCAAUCACCAUCACAAAUGAUUAGUUCAUCUUUUAUGUGCA